AUACAGAGGGUGCAAGCGUUAAUCGGAUUUACUGGGCGUAAAGCGCGCGUAGGUGGCUAAUUAAGUCAAAUGUGAAAUCCCCGAGCUUAACUUGGGAAUUGCAUUCGAUACUGGUUAGCUAGAGUAUGGGAGAGGAUGGUAGAAUUCCAGGUGUAGCGGUGAACUGCGUAGAGAUCUGGAGGAAUACCGAUGGCGAAGGCAGCCAUCUGGCCUAAUACUGACACUGAGGUGCGAAAGCAUGGGGAGCAAACAGGAUUAGAUACCCUGGUAGUCCAUGCCGUAAACGAUGUCUACUAGCCGUUGGGGCCCUUGAGGCUUUAGUGGCGCAGCUAACGCGAUAAGUAGACCGCCUGGGGAGUACGGUCGCAAGACUAAAACUCAAAUGAAUUGACGGGG
rnacentral:rRNA from 1 species